UACGAAGGGGGCUAGCGUUGCUCGGAUUUACUGGGCGUAAAGGGCGCGUAGGCGGUUUGUUCAGUCAGACGUGAAAUUCCCGGGCUCAACCUGGGGGCUGCGUUUGAUACGUGCAGGCUUGAGUGUGGAAGAGGGUCGUGGAAUUCCCAGUGUAGAGGUGAAAUUCGUAGAUAUCGGGAGGAACACCGGUGGCGAAGGCGGUUCUCUGGGCCUUACCUGACGCUGAGGAGCGAAAGCGUGGGGAGCGAACAGG
rnacentral:rRNA from 1 species